UAUUCAAACAUGUUUAUAAACGACUAAAAAUGGAAUUAAAGUUUAUAAUUACUUAAAGUAAGUAACCCCUGGUUCGAAAUAUAGAUUCUGGUGAGUAGAAUCGAAAAGAAAAUAAAGUUUGUCGUGCGUUAAAAAAAUAUAUGUAAUAAAUAAAUAUAAAUGUAAUUAAAUUAAAGAACAAUAAAAAUAUACGUUACAAGUUGCUUUUCAAAAAAAAAAAACCAUCAAUCACAAGACUUAUCUUGGUUCAUGUCGGCAUUCAAUACGCCACAAUUCGUACACGCCACAAUACGUACAAUUCUAAAUCUGUUGAUGACCUUCAAUUUUUUAUUAAUGAAUAUUUCACCGGACAAACGUACAGUCCUAGCUGUACAUUAUAGUCUAUAUAUGUCUAACAAAUU
rnacentral:misc_RNA from 1 species